GAUGAACGCUGGCGGCGUGCUUAACACAUGCAAGUCAAGGGGGCCCAGCAAUGGGCAACCGGCGAACGGGUGCGUAACACGUGAGCAACCUACCGAAAUGUGGGGGAUAGCCGGCCCAACGGCCGGGUAAUACCGCAUACGCUCGAGACCAGGCAUUUGGACUCGAGGAAAUUUACGGAGCAUUUCGAGGGGCUCGCGGCCUAUCAGCUAGUUGGUGAGGUAACGGCUCACCAAGGCUACGACGGGUAGCUGGUCUGAGAGGAUGGCCAGCCACAUUGGGACUGAGAUACGGCCCAGACUCCUACGGGUGGCAG
rnacentral:rRNA from 1 species